AUGGCAGCAAAGGCCAAAGUCUUAUUUGAGUUAUUACCAUUAUUAUUCACAUUUGCCAUUUUAUUUCAAACUCACAGUGGCGGAAGUGGACUAAGACAUCAUGUUGCCUCAAGUUUAAUUGGAAAUCGUGAGAUGGGGUUUUACUAUGUUGGAGAAGCUAGUCUCAAACUCCUGGGCUCAAGUCAUCCUCCCGCCUCAGCCUGGUUAUUGAGAUUACAGACGUGUGCCUGGCCUAUUUUACUCGUUUUGAUAUCAACAUUCAAUGGUGGUGGAGGAGGUUCUCCUGCUUGCAUUUGCUGGGACCAGGCCCUUUAUUGUUCCACUUUAGUUCAAAGAUGCAAGGUCACUAAGCACGCUUCUUUUUUGUAUCAGUUUUAGAAAUUAUUGUAUCUUGUUCUACAUCACUUUAACAUUCAUGUAAUUGUUGAAAUUUUACCACCCAAGGCAUAAAAGGAAAUAU
rnacentral:lncRNA from 1 species